AGGGGCAUCAGUUUGGUUUGCCUGCAAACCAAAGCUGGCGACCGGCGCACGGGUGAGUAACACGUAUCCAACCUGCCUCAUACUCGGGGAUAGCCUUUCGAAAGAAAGAUUAAUAUCCGAUAGCAUAUAUUUCCCGCAUGGGUUUUAUAUUAAAGAAAUUCGGUAUGAGAUGGGGAUGCGUUCCAUUAGUUUGUUGGCGGGGUAACGGCCCACCAAGACUACGAUGGAUAGGGGUUCUGAGAGGAAGGUCCCCCACAUUGGAACUGAGACACGGUCCAAACUCCUACGGGAGGCAGCAGUGAGGAAUAUUGGUCAAUGGACGCGAGUCUGAACCAGCCAAGUAGCGUGAAGGAUGACUGCCCUAUGGGUUGUAAACUUCUUUUAUAUGGGAAUAAAGUGGUCCACGUGUGGAUUUUUGUAUGUACCAUAUGAAUAAGGAUCGGCUAACUCCGUGCCAGCAGCCGCGGUAAUACGGAGGAUCCGAGCGUUAUCCGGAUUUAUUGGGUUUAAAGGGAGCGUAGGCGGAUUGUUAAGUCAGUUGUGAAAGUUUGCGGCUCAACCGUAAAAUUGCAGUUGAUACUGGCAGUCUUGAGUGCAGUAGAGGUGGGCGGAAUUCGUGGUGUAGCGGUGAAAUGCUUAGAUAUCACGAAGAACUCCGAUUGCGAAGGCAGCUCACUGGAGUGUAACUGACGCUGAUG
rnacentral:rRNA from 1 species